rnacentral:tRNA from 1 species
GGGGAGGUAGCAUAAUGGUAGUGCAUCAUCUUGUCGAGGUGAACGGAGUCAGUUCGAACCUGGUCCUUCUCG